rnacentral:rRNA from 1 species
GGAGUUUGGUCCGUGUCUCAGUACCAAUGUGGGGGACCUUCCUCUCAGAACCCCUACUGAUCGAUGGCUUGGUGGGCCGUUACCCCGCCAACAACCUAAUCAGACGCAUCCCCAUCCCAUAGCGGUAAACCUUUGCUUCAUAUCUGAUGCCAUCAACGAAGAACAUAGGGUAUUAAUCCGACUUUCGCCGGGCUAUCCCCUGCUAGGGGGAAGGUUGGAUACGCGUUACUCACCCGUGCGCCGGUCGCCAUCAAUCAAAGCAAGCUUUGAUCAUGCUGCCCCUCGACUUGCAUGUGUUAAGCCUGUAGCUAGCGUUCAUC